rnacentral:lncRNA from 1 species
AAUAAUAUUUACCAGUCAUCAUAUAUGACACCAAAAUACCUCUUUAAGGCACAAUUAUGCAAUCAAUUAUGACCCCCAAAAAUGGUACUCAAGACUACUAAAAAGUCACUAAACAAGCCCAAGACUUGACCGUCAAGAAAUGGCACGCAAUUAUUCAUCAAUCUCCACUAAAACAAAACAUCUAAAAUCACGAAUUAUAUUUAUAUUAAAAUCAUUUAUGAAUAAUAAAAGAAAAUUAUAUGAUAUUUAUAACACAUUUGAACUAUAUAAAUUUGUUAUAAGAUAGAAUUAACAACAUUUAUUUAAAAAAUUUCAAAAUUUGAAUAUUCGAAACUUAAUAAAAGUAAUCAAUUUUGAGAAAGUAACUGAUUAUAGUAAAUACUCCUAAUUUAAGAAUAGUUGACCAAGUUCUUUAAAAUACAAAGAACACAUUUAAAGA